rnacentral:rRNA from 1 species
UUGGAGGGCAAGUCUGGUGCCAGCAGCCGCGGUAAUUCCAGCUCCAAUAGCGUAUAUUAAAGUUGUUGCAGUUAAAAAGCUCGUAGUUGAAUUUCGGGAUCAGCAGGUUGGUCGUGCCUCUGGUAUGCACUGGUUUCGCUGAUUCCUCCUUUCUGAAGAACUGUAAUGUCAUUAAUUUGGUGUUGCAGGGAAACAGGACUGUUACUUUGAAAAAAUUAGAGUGUUUAAAGCAGGCUAACGCUUGAAUACAUUAGCAUGGAAUAAUGAAAUAGGACGUUUGAUCCUAUUUUGUUGGUUUCUAGGAUUGACGUAAUGAUUAAUAGGGAUAGUUGGGGGCAUUAGUAUUCAAUUGUCAGAGGUGAAAUUCUUGGAUUUAUUGAAGACUAACUACUGCGAAAGCAUUUGCCAAGGAUGUUUUCAUUAAUCAAGAACGAAAGUUAGGGGAUCGAAGACGAUCAGAUACCGUCGUAGUCUUAACCAUAAACUAUGCCGACUAGGGAUCGGGUGAUGUUAAUUUUUUAAUGACUCAUUCGGCGCCUUACGGGAAAC